UGUCUCCGUUUUCCUCUCAAUACACAUAAAUCUUUCGCCAUUUACUAAAGAUUUCCGUGGUGGAGAGCAUUCAUAAGAGUCUAGAAAUUUAAUCUUUCAAUAUACAUAUAUUUAUAAU